AAAGGCCGGAAUAGCUCAGUUGGUAGAGCAGAGGACUGAAAAUCCUCGUGUCACC
rnacentral:tRNA from 1 species